CUUAACCCCCAAUUUAUACCCAAACACCACUCUUUUGGGGUGGGGUUAGUAAACCCCACCCCAAACCGGGUUAGUGGAGUUUACUAACCCCACUCCCCCUCCCAACUUUAACCCCGCACGCAUCCCGAGCUCUCACCUUUUUCUUCUUUAUCAAUCAUUAACCCCACUCCCCCUUCCAACUUUAACCCCGCACGCAUCCCGAGCUCUCACCUUUUUCUUCUUUAUCAAUCAUUAUCUUCUUAUCCCACCUACUCCAACCAAACACUUUUUUUCACUAUCCUAGACUAACUCCAACCUCCAACCAAACACAAAAAAAUUUUAACACCAUUUUAACCCUG
rnacentral:lncRNA from 1 species